rnacentral:rRNA from 1 species
GUUGUAUGGUUAAGCGACCAAGCGUAUACGGUGGAUGCCUUGGCAGUCAGAGGCGAUGAAGGACGUAGUAACUUGCGAAAAGCGUUGGUGAGCUAGUAACAAGCAUUUGAGCCAGCGAUGUCCGAAUGGGGAAACCCGGCAGCAUAAGCUGUCAUCAAUACGUGAAUACAUAGCGUAUUGAGGCGAACGAGGGGAACUGAAACAUCUAAGUACCCUCAGGAAAAGAAAUCAACCGAGAUUCCCCAAGUAGCGGCGAGCGAACGGGGAUUAGCCCUUAAGUCUUUGGGGUGUUAGUGGAAUGUGUUGGAAAGCACAGCGGCACAGGGUGAUAGCCCCGUACACGUAAACUAACCAGAGAUGAAAUCGAGUAAGGCGGCACACGUGACAUGUUGUCUGAAUAUGGGGGGACCAUCCUCCAAGGCUAAAUACUCCUGACUGACCGAUAGUGAACCAGUACCGUGAGGGAAAGGCGAAAAGAACCCCUGUGAGGGGAGUGAAAUAGAACCUGAAACCGUAUACGUACAAGCAGUGGAAGCGGUCCUUGAGACCGUGACUGCGUACCUUUUGUAUAAUGGGUCAGCGACUUACAUUUAGUAGCGAGGUUAAGCGAAUAGCGGAGCCGUAGGGAAACCGAGUGUUAACUGCGCGUUUAGUUGCUAGGUGUAGACCCGAAACCCGGUGAUCUAGCCAUGGGCAGGUUGAAGGUUGAGUAACAUCAACUGGAGGACCGAACCGACUAAUGUUGAAAAAUUAGCGGAUGACUUGUGGCUGGGGGUGAAAGGCCAAUCAAACCGGGAGAUAUCUGGUUCUCCUCGAAAGCUAUUUAGGUAGCGCCUCGGACGAACACCUUUGGGGGUAGAGCACUGUUAAGGCUAGGGGGUCAUCCCGACUUACCAACCCUUUGCAAACUCCGAAUACCAAAGAGUGCUAUCCGGGAGACAGACGGCGGGUGCUAACGUCCGUCGUCAAAAGGGAAACAACCCAGACCGUCAGCUAAGGUCCCAAAGUAAUUGCUAAGUGGGAAACGAUGUGGGAAGGCUUAGACAGCUAGGAUGUUGGCUUAGAAGCAGCCAUCAUUUAAAGAAAGCGUAAUAGCUCACUAGUCGAGUCGGCCUGCGCGGAAGAUGUAACGGGGCUAAGCAAUUCACCGAAGCUACGGGUACUGAUGCUUGCAUCAGUGCGGUAGAGGAGCGUUCUGUAAGCCGUUGAAGGCGAAGGGGUAACCCCCGCUGGAGGUAUCAGAAGUGCGAAUGCUGACAUGAGUAACGAUAAAGGGGGUGAAAAACCCCCUCGCCGAAAGACCAAGGGUUCCUGUCCAACGUUAAUCGGGGCAGGGUGAGUCGACCCCUAAGGCGAGGCUGAAAGGCGUAGUCGAUGGGAAACGGGUUAAUAUUCCCGUACUUCUGCUAACUGCGAUGGAGAGACGGAGAAGGCUAGGCCAGCGCGGCGUUGGUUGUCCGCGUUUAAGGUAGUAGGUGGUGUGCUUAGGCAAAUCCGGGCACACAUACACUGAGAGCUGACGACGAGUCCCCAAGGGGAUGAAGUGGUUGAUGCCAUGCUUCCAGGAAAAUCUUCUAAGCUUCAGGUUAGUAGGAAUCGUACCCCAAACCGACACAGGUGGUCGGGUAGAGAAUACCAAGGCGCUUGAGAGAACUCGGCUGAAGGAACUAGGCAAAAUGGUACCGUAACUUCGGGAGAAGGUACGCUGCCGGCGGUGAAGACCUCGCGUCGUAAGCUGCUGGCAGUCGCAGAUACCAGGUGGCUGCAACUGUUUAUCAAAAACACAGCACUGUGCAAAAUCGCAAGAUGACGUAUACGGUGUGACGCCUGCCCGGUGCCGGAAGGUUAAUUGAUUGGGUUAUCUUCGGAGAAGCUCAUGAUCGAAGCCCCGGUAAACGGCGGCCGUAACUAUAACGGUCCUAAGGUAGCGAAAUUCCUUGUCGGGUAAGUUCCGACCUGCACGAAUGGCGUAAUGAUGGCCACGCUGUCUCCAGCCGAGACUCAGUGAAGUUGAAAUUGCGGUGAAGAUGCCGUAUACCCGCGGCUAGACGGAAAGACCCCGUGAACCUUUACUAUAGCUUGGCACUGAACAUUGACCCUACAUGUGUAGGAUAGGUGGGAGACUAUGAAGAUGAGACGCCAGUCUUGUUGGAGUCAACCUUGAAAUACCACCCUUGUAGUGUUGAUGUUCUAACCUUGGUCCCUUAUCGGGAUUAGGGACAGUGCCUGGUGGGUAGUUUGACUGGGGCGGUCUCCUCCCAAAGAGUAACGGAGGAGCACGAAGGUUGGCUAAGUACGGUCGGACAUCGUACGGUUAGUGCAAUGGCAUAAGCCAGCUUAACUGCGAGACAGACACGUCGAGCAGAUGCGAAAGCAGGUCAUAGUGAUCCGGUGGUUCUGAAUGGAAGGGCCAUCGCUCAACGGAUAAAAGGUACUCCGGGGAUAACAGGCUGAUACCGCCCAAGAGUUCAUAUCGACGGCGGUGUUUGGCACCUCGAUGUCGGCUCAUCACAUCCUGGGGCUGAAGUCGGUCCCAAGGGUAUGGCUGUUCGCCAUUUAAAGUGGUACGCGAGCUGGGUUCAGAACGUCGUGAGACAGUUCGGUCCCUAUCUGCCGUGGGCGUUGGAUGAUUGAGGGGAGCUGCUCCUAGUACGAGAGGACCGGAGUGGACGAACCGCUGGUGUUCGGGUUGUCAUGCCAAUGGCAUUGCCCGGUAGCUACGUUCGGAAUCGAUAACCGCUGAAAGCAUCUAAGCGGGAAGCGAGCCCCAAGAUGAGUCAUCCCUAGGUCCUAGAGACCUCUGAAGAGCCGUUCGAGACCAGGACGUUGAUAGGCAGGGUGUGUAAGCGUUGCGAGGCGUUGAGCUAACCUGUACUAAUGACUCGAGAGGCUUAACCAUACAACCCAGAUGGGUUUU